rnacentral:misc_RNA from 1 species
UGAGAGCUGUACAGGUGUACCAGGA